rnacentral:lncRNA from 10 species
AAAUUAGCCGGGCGUGGUGGCUCAUGCCUGUAAUCCCAGCUAUGGGAGGCUGAGGCGGGAGAAUCGCUUGAAUCUGGGAGGCGGAGGUUGUGGUGAGCCGAGAUCACGCCACUGAACUCCAGCCUGGGCAGCAAGAGCAAAACUCUGUCUCAAAAAAAAAAAAAGGAUUCUUGAAGGGGUAGUGGAGUUUCUGCACCUCAACAGAAUUCCCCCUUCUCCAGUGAAAAAAGUAUACAAGCAAAACCACGAAAAAGGUAGAUUUACAAAACUAUUCAAAUGUUUCUUAUUUGUAAUAGCAAAAAAGAACCAAAAUUCCCACCGACAAUAUCCUGGAACAGCACCCAACUUACAACAAGAAUAAGGAAUACUGCCACACCACUGCAGAGUGGCCUCUAGGAUCCCCUGUUAACUUAAAAAGAUUAAGGUAUGGAACAAAGUUUGUGACUAUUCUACCAAUGAACCAAGACAGAGGACAACCCAGAAGACUGCACAGGGAGAGCAGAGCUGGCACAGCUUGGAGUCAGGGUUGGGAGUCAGGUGUGGUCAAGACAUGAAGCUACUAACGUCUGCAUGGUCGAUAUCAUGGACAGCCUUAAAUACAGAAUUAAGGAGCUUGGAUUUUAACCUGUAUUCCGAGUUUAAAAAAAUACUGUUUCUGACAAGUACUCUCAGAUUUUGGGAGUGGAAUUUUUAUAAAAGAUAUUUUAAAGGCUGUAAUGCUCCCGCCCCCAAAUUUAAAACGUGUUCUAGUUUUGUCAGCUUAUCCAAGUCUCCAGCAUCUUGCGAGGUUCCCCUAUGAACCCAUGGAGUAUCCAUAUUUUUAACUACUUCAAUUUUGGUAUAGCAGCAUGGCAUGGCCCCAAGGUCCAUGAUCUUGCAUGUUCCUGCAUAAAUGCUCUCCUUUCAGAGCUCCAAGUGUCUGCAUUCAAACAGUGACUAUCCAACUUUUUAAUAGCUGUUUUUCGGCAGAAAGAUGACAUAACUUCUAUGAGCCUCAGUUUUCUUAUUUUUCAAAUGGGGAUUGGGACUGUAUUCAUUGAAAUAGUGCUGAGACCCCUUCCAUGCAUAAAAA